ACAUACCUAUAACGUUGCCUCGGCGGGAACAGACGGCCCCGUAACACGGGCCGCCCCCGCCAGAGGACCCCCUAACUCUGUUUCUAUAAUGUUUCUUCUGAGUAAACAAGCAAAUAAAUUAAAACUUUCAACAACGGAUCUCUUGGCUCUGGCAUCGAUGAAGAACGCAGCGAAAUGCGAUAAGUAAUGUGAAUUGCAGAAUUCAGUGAAUCAUCGAAUCUUUGAACGCACAUUGCGCCCGCCAGUAUUCUGGCGGGCAUGCCUGUUCGAGCGUCAUUACAACCCUCAGGCCCCCGGGCCUGGCGUUGGGGAUCGGCGGAAGCCCCCUGCGGGCACAACGCCGUCCCCCAAAUACAGUGGCGGUCCCGCCGCAGCUUCCAUUGCGUAGUAGCUAACACCUCGCAACUGGAGAGCGGCGCGGCCACGCCGUAAAACACCCAACUUCUGAAUGU
rnacentral:rRNA from 1 species